rnacentral:misc_RNA from 1 species
CGGAGGGAUCAUUGCUGGAACGCGCCCUAGGCGCACCCAGAAACCCUUUGUGAACUUAUACCUUACUGUUGCCUCGGCGCAUGCUGGCCCCCUCGGGGUCCCCUGGAGACAGGGAGCAGGCACGCCGGCGGCCAAGUUAACUCUUGUUUUUACACUGAAACUCUGAGAAAAAAACACAAAUGAAUCAAA